UUUUUUUUUUUUUUUUUUUUGAGACAGAGUUUCACUCAUGUUGCCCCAGCUGGAAUGCAGUGGGGUGAUCUCAGCUCACUGCAACCUCCACCUCCCAGGUUCAAAUGAUUCUCCUGCCUCAGCCUCCCAAGUAGCUGGGAUUACAGAUGCCCGACACCAUGCCCAGCUAUUGCAUUUUUAGUAGAAACAGGUUUCACCAUGUUGGCAAGGCUGGUCAUGAACUCCUGAUCUCGUGAUUUGCCCAUCUCGUCCUCCCAAAGUGCUGGGAUUACAGGUGUGAGCCACUGCACCCAGCCCAGAUGAGGACAUUUUUAAGAGGCCAUUGUUCUGUCUCAUACAGGUCACUUUCAUAAACAUUACCCACAACAAAAGUACGCUUUGCCUUCCUUCCAUGUCUCACUUUUCUGUCUGCACAGACCACAGCGAAACAUACUCCCUCUGCUAUGAAGUGGCUGAAUGAACCUAAGUUCCUCAUUUGACCUCCCUCAGCCUCUUUCCUCAUCUGCGGUGUAAGGUUGACUCUUACUGCAUCAGAAAAUGACAGUGGAAGAGUAAAUUAACAUGUGUAAGACAUUAGUCACAGAGGCUGGUACCUGAUGAGCCCUCGGUAAACAUUCCUUUCAGUCCUUUCCUUUCACCAUCCCAUUUUUCUUGCCCUCACUCAUCUUUUCCUUCAACUCCUUUCUCUUCAAUAACUUUCUCAGUCUAUCCUGCGAAUUAAAGAUGCCACACUACCCAUUCUCUCAUGACGCUGAUGGUGUGUUCUCGUGACAGAGUCUGUUUCCCACUCAAGGCAAUGGUAUUAUGUAUAUGGAGAGGUCUGUUUGCAACAGGAAAUCAUUUUUAUGUUCACACAAAAUUUAUACACGAUUUGUCUUAACUUACACAUACCAGUCUCAAUUCUACCCUGUUAUUUCAUACAUGCACUUCAUUAUUUUAUUCUUCAGUCUUUCUCCUUAUGCCCUGAAAAUUAGGAUAGUACAAAAACAAAAAUAAUGGCCUGGGCCAGAAGAGGGUAUUCCUUUAGCAAGAUGAAUGCUGUCUGCAAGACAGCCCUGAAGCCCAUUUCUGGGUUCGGCUUACAUCACAGCCAUUCCACUCUAGGACACAUCCUUAGAUUCCCAGGAGAUAAUGAUUGUCACAGAAGCCACACCCACUCUGAGCAUUCCUACUGUUAGGUAAAUGAAUGUUUACAGAAUGUUGUGCAUGAGUUACUCCUCCUAAAUUCUUCUACUCCUGGAAGUUAAACUUCCCUACUAACCAGCUUCGUCUCCAACUGGCCUGCCUGGACCCUGACUGGAAAGUACCUCCGAACUCUGCAUGGCCAGGGUGGCACUUUUGCCUAUUCCCAUCAUUAUAAUAUCUAACACAGUGAUACAGCACUCACUAUGCACCAGGCACUAUCCUAAGAGCUUUUCAUGUAGCUACAGUCCUAACAAAAAUAUCCUAAGUGCCACCACCCCGUUUUUGGAGAUGAAAAAAAAAGAAAAAAAAAACAUGUGGCAGAGAAGUAUGUGCCCACUGUAACCUAACUCCAUAAUUUAACCUCGUCCUUCACUUCAUCUGCUAAGAUGACACUCUAAAAUUAACAAGGUCUCCUGAAUGACAUCCACCUUCAAAAAUGAUUUCUCUCCCAUUUGCUUUCAGGAUUUGACAGCCAGCAUUUUGUUUUCUGUCUCAUCCUUCACUUAUGCACCUGUUCCCUAACACUAUACUCACAACUGCACAGUCCAGCAUAAAAGCUAGUUUUUGGAGACCUCAAUCUGUUUUGGAAAAAAGAAAGGCCAGGUUCCAAGUCUCACAAAAAGUCAUUUUUUUUUAUUCUAUUGUCAACUAUUUGCAUGGCCAUUCUCUGGCCAUAA
ensembl:lncRNA